CCCUAAUCUCCUUCCCACCUCUUCCCUCAGCCGCCGCACUUACCAUCCCCAUCCUCUCGCACCGGAUCCCGAACCUACGCCGCCGCCCAGUGCCUCGCCCCAUCUUCUUCAUCCACACUGCCCCGCCCAUCGUCGCUGCCCCAUCCCCUUCAUCGCCCAUGCCGCCGCCAAGUGCCGUCGUGCUCGCAUCCCCCACCCACGACGCCGUCUCCGCAUCCCCAUCCACGCCGCCGCCGGAUGUCAGCGCCGAGUUCGGGGGCGACCUCCACGAACCGCCUGGCGGUCUCGCCUCCAGAGAAUGCAGUCGAGGUGGGUUCAGCCUGGCGACCGCGUCGAGUUGGGGGGCGACCUCCACGAACCGCCUGGCGAUCUUGGCAGGUUCGUUCACCUUGGCGGCCGCGCUGGCGGGUGGGCCUGGUCUUCGGCACCCUCUACCCGCCCUUCAUCUCUUGAUGCCUAUGGCGUGCCCCCACCAUCUUGGGCAAUCCUGCAGGUCCAGCUCCCACAAUCUCUCAUUUCUUCAGCUUUCCUCAGCAUGUGUCUGUACUCUGUACGCUGCUCCCUCUUCUACCUUUUCAUUCCUCUGUUCUGCUUCUUGCGAAUAGUAACUGUAUGUAUGGUCCGGAUAAAAUUUAUUGUGAGAGUUUUUCUGCAUUAUAACUAUGUACUAAAUAUGCUUUGUUUUAGUCUCUCAUUCCCUUUAAAAUCAAAUCCCCACCGCAGACAUAUCUUAAUCGAUCAAAUUUAAUGUCCUGUUUACAAUUUCUGCAGUGCAAAAAGCCCUUUUGAUUCUGGGGUCAUUGCCUUAAAACAAAUAAUCAUUCUAGUUGGUCUUCAGAUAUUUUGUUUGCGGUUCUGAAUAUACAGGGAGCCAGUAGAAGUGACAGAACAUGGGCUUUUGUGCAGUAAUGCAUGGCUCAAGUUUGCUCUGUCUAGAAGCUGCUACUAGCAAAUGCAGAUGUGGCUAGAUGACAUCGUGUCAAUUGAGUUUGAGUCAGCUAGCAUAAAGAUUUUGCUCUCAAAUGUUGUUCUUUAGUUAUACUACUUAAUAACACAUUUUGUGCCCUGUGGCGUGUUUGUGAGAUACUGAGAAGUCUUGCUUCUUUCAUUGCGUAGCUAGCCUUUUCUCCUAAAAUUUACAUGUGGAUGAACAAAUUGACCGGAAUACUAUGUGCCAUAAAUUCACCUUUUCUCCUAACAGACUUAUACUUAGCACUGUGAUCUUUGUAGAGAAAACCUUGAUGGGUCGAAACCUGUCCAGAUGCAUCGUGAAUGAUGGUUGAGAUGUGGUGCAAAAAGGAAUGGAAAGAAACUUGUGCUUGCAGGGAGCGGAAGCGGAUGUGAUCGGGGGUCACCAUCAAGAGAGUGCUUCCGAGGCUCGCUACGAAAGGAAAAUAUAUGGAACACCCCGGGUAGUUAGCGCAUGUUUUGCUCAUGCUCCUGGCAAAUCCUUUUGGGUCAGAAAGCUUCUGCGUUCUGGUCUGCUCUUGCACCCACAAGUUUUUAGCUGUGUGUUUUGCGAGCUAAAAGGACCUAUUUGUAGAAUCUAACUCGGCUUUGGAUUUUAAUAUCUUCUGAUGGAGUAGCACUCUAGGAUGGAAUCAAUUUCUAACUGAAACUAGAUGUAUACUGGAGACUUGAACCUAUAGAUGUAUGUAUGUAUACAUGUUGGUUUGUUGUCCUUUUGGCUGUGAUGUAGUACUGGACUUAUGAACCUGUAUGUAUGCUGUGAUGCAGUACUAGACUCGUGUCCUACAAAUGUAUACAUAUGUAUGUAUGCAGACGUGAUGUAUUGUUGAGAUA